AGUGAACGCUGGCGGCGUGCCUAAUACAUGCAAGUCGAACGGAGAUUAAGUAGCUUGCUAUUUAAUCUUAGUGGCGCACGGGUGAGUAAUAUAUAGCUAACUUGCCCAUUACUAAGGGACAACAGUUGGAAACGACUGCUAAUACCUUAUACUCCGUAUCUACAUAAGUAGAUACGGGAAAGUUUUUCGGUAAUGGAUAGGGCUAUAUCGUAUCAGCUAGUUGGUAAGGUAAUGGCUUACCAAGGCUAUGACGCGUAACUGGUCUGAGAGGAUGAUCAGUCACACUGGAACUGAGACACGGUCCAGACUCCUACGGGAGGCAGCAGUAGGGAAUAUUGCUCAAUGGGGGAAACCCUGAAGCAGCAACGCCGCGUGGAGGAUGACACUUUUCGGAGCGUAAACUCCUUUUCUUGGGAAAGAAUUAUGACGGUACCCAAGGAAUAAGCACCGGCUAACUCCGUG
rnacentral:rRNA from 1 species